rnacentral:lncRNA from 1 species
CCAUCAUCUGGGACAUCUUCUUAUCACCAGCCUUCCAAUCUCCCUAAUAUCUAGCCAUUGGCAAGGCUAUAAAGCCAAUUUCGUGAUAUAAAAUAUUUUCGUGAUUUAUUUGACUUUUUUUGCCCCUCAAUUAUCACACCCAGUGAGUCAUCAAGACUUGAUUUUAGUUCAUCAUCGCCUCCAAAACCCAAGCAAGCUGCUUGGUAUAUAUGACCGAGUGCAGUGGAAUCACUGUCAUAUUUCUUCUUUGCCUUUGACAUCUUCUAUUUUACAGCCCCAAGUCAUUGUAAGUACUCCCACCCCUGCCUGGAAAGACAGGGACGGACGUAGCUCUUUCUCUAGCUCCCUGUAGCUCUUUCUCUAGCCAGCAAAUUUUUUGUUUAAAACCCGCGGAACAGACGUGAGGCAUGAACACGGGAGCAAAAGUGUGCUAGAGUAACUCCCGUCAAAGAGAGACCCUUACUAGGGCAAGAAGACCUUGAUCAAAGCAUACCCAGAUGCCGAGGUUCUGAGGAAGGAAAUAAGUGACCACCAGGCAUGGUGCUCUGAUUAUUAAGCUAGUUUCUCAGCUCCAAACUCAACCUUCACUGCUUAGCCUUGUGACGGUGGGAAGGCUGGGAGAGGCCAAACCACCUUUCCCCUUUGCCAGGGCUCCCUGAUCAGUUCUGCCCAUGUGCUACUAAGGGAAACGGUAAAGCUGGAGGAGGGAAAGGGGACACCACCCUUCUCUUUGCGCACUGCUUAUGCCAGCAGCAUCCGAGCAAUACCGCUUGCCCUGUAGUGCUUCUUGAGUCGGAUUUCAGUUCAGUGUCUGGGUUUUUGAACAUUUCUAUAACCAUUCUCCC